rnacentral:rRNA from 1 species
UGCAAGUCGAACGUGAAGAUCGGGAUGAUGACUUCGGUUUGAAUCUUGGUUGGAAAGUGGCGAACGGGUGAGUAACACGUAGGUGAUCUGCCUCGAAGUGGGGGAUAACCAUUGGAAACGAUGGCUAAUACCGCAUAGUUCUGUCUGUAUGGGAAUAUGGACAGGUAAAGCUCUGGCGCUUCGAGAGGAGCCUGCGUCCGAUUAGCUAGUUGGUGGGGUAAAAGCCCACCAAGGCGACGAUCGGUAGCUGGUCUGAGAGGACGAUCAGCCACACGGGGACUGAGACACGGCCCCGACUCCUACGGGGGGCAGCAGUGAGGAAUAUUGCACAAUGGGGGCAACCCUGAUGCAGCAACGCCGCGUGGAGGAUGAAGGCCCUUGGGUCGUAAACUCCUUUUUUGGGGGAAGAGAAAGGACGGUACCCCAAGAAUAAGUCACGGCUAACUACGUGCCAGCAGCCGCGGUAAUACGUAGGUGGCAAGCGUUAUCCGGAAUUACUGGGCGUAAAGCGCACGCAGGCGGCCGGUCAAGUCCGACGUGAAAGCUCCUGGCUUAACUGGGAGAGGUCGUUGGAAACUGAUUGGCUUGAGGCAAUGAGAGGGGUACGGAAUUCCCGGUGUAGUGGUGGAAUGC